UCAUUAAAAGAUACUGGUUUCGAAAAGCACCAAUGUCUUGUCGGUUCUUGGUGUGAAGCCACUUGCAGCCAGCGAGUGAACCUCCAGCUGUUUUUUGAAUGGGGAAUGUUUUUAUUUUCCAGAAGAUGUCAUUAUAAAGUGAGCUUCUCUGAUCUUUCAACUUUCUGGUAAGUAAUUAAACCAGGCUUUUCCGUUUUCUGUAUGUUUUCUGUAUGAAGCUGCCAUGAACUU
rnacentral:lncRNA from 1 species